rnacentral:ncRNA from 1 species
UUAGCUAUUUUGGAUAGGUUUGUAUUCAUGAGUUGUGGAUACAAACAAGCAGAAACCUGUUUUGUAUCUAUGAUGGCUGAAGAAUUUUGUAUGGAGCAAAAGCCGCGUAGACAAUUUCUAAGUGGCGUAUGAAGAAGUUUUCUUACUUUAUGACUUUUAUCAUCCAUUUAGGCAUAUUGUCUAAAUGGAUUUUUUGUUUCACUAA